CCCCCCCCAGUUCCCUCCUGGGGGCUCUGCGGGACCCCGAGCGCAGCCGAUUGGUCGAGGCCGCCUUGGCCGUCCUGGCCCCGCCCAAAAUCCGGGAGCUCUUCCGGGACCACCUGCGGGGGCACCUGAGGGGCGUGGCCUCCCACAGGGUGGCCAAUCACGGCCUCCAGAGGCUGCUGGACCACGCCCCCGAGGAUGUGGUGGAGGAGGUGCUCUCGGAGCUGGGCCCCGCCCUGGGGGAGCCGCUGGCCCGGGGCCACCCCGGGGUGGUCACAGCCCUGCUCGGGGCCGCCCGGAGACACCCCCGGCUCCAGGGCCCCGCCCUCCGCUGGCUGCUGCAGGCUCUCGACUGCUGGGACCCCCCCGAGCGCCGCGACCAAUGCCUGCGCCCCCUGGCCGAGCUCCGCCCCCGGGGGGGCGGGGACAGUGAGGAGGCGGGG